GUAGGUUGAAGCCCGCUGGCUUGGGUGUUUGGUUGUUAACUAAAAUCUUGCGGGAUCAAAGCCCGUCAGCCUA
rnacentral:tRNA from 1 species